AGAAAAACAUCCUAUAUUAGGGAAGACUACGCGAUGUGUUUUAGUUGGCCGAGACUGCUUGCAUCGCAUUUCGACUACUGCUUUACGCACGGUACGAUAAGCCGCCACAACCGUGGUAGCGACUAGUUAGAGGAAGAUAAUGCGAACGUUUGAGCUUGUCGAUGUGCAAACACAGUAUUGUGGUACCAUUUCCGAGUAUUCUUUGCUGAUCCAGGCGCGAGCCGCAUUCAGUACCAAAUUUCUCUGGCUAAGCAGUUAUCGGCGCGCCAAUGCUCUAAAUUAUUGCUGCUUAAGCGGAAGCUUACGGAGAAAUAAUAGCAAAGCGACUACAUCCAGUGCCGAUUGAUUAUUAUCGCGUCUCUACUGCAAACAUCUUUACCGCCCUGAGAUUAGAUACGAGCACGAAAAAAAAAAAAAAUACGCGCAAUAAGGGUAAAGGAGGCCCUUGAUGAGACCCCUGAUUAGGCCCCUGAAAUUUAAUAUAACACUGCUUCAUCAAGGACAGCUCGCCAUAUCUUAUAAAAAUGUCUUCAAAUCCUAAAUAAAUAGCUGUAGGCGUAGUCACUAUAGCCGGUUUCAUAUUCCUACAUUGCACACGUGUGAGUGUAAUGCAAUCUUUAAUUAAGAAGUGUACAAUAAAUAGCACCAGUGUAAAUACACGCGUAUAAACCACGAACAGAAAGACAAGAAAUAUCGCGCUUUCUAUUGAAGAGACAAGAGCAGAGAUAAGCGAAGUGCGUUAUGUUGGACAAAAAUAAUCUGAAUAAUAGUAUUGUUCCCAUAGCAUUACGAAUGGCGGACAGCAGUCAUAAAAACCUAAGCACCAGGUACUUGUUUUUCCUGUUUCAGCUUCAACAAAAGGUACCUACAAUUACUCCUUAAGAAUAUAAGAAUAAAGAGUACGCAAACUAGCUUUCGAAGGGCAAGACCGAACUCCCGCACGUUGACUCCUUUAAGAUUAUCUCGAAGAAAGUUUGAACAAAACAAAAGCAACUUAGUAGCACCCUUGCAAGUAAUGGUCGUCUCUACAAAGCCAGAGCCUCCCCCAGACCCUUUGCCUCAUCCUCAAUUUCCUGAACGCACGCGUUACUCUUUCAAAUGAAGAGCCCUUCAUACUUGGGAGCCAACGCUCAGUUCCCUCGCGAACAUGAAAGCCUCUUUGCACACGCAUAUUUUUUUUUUCCUUUUCGUUAAUUACGACAAGCCGCCUUGUGUGCGACACUGCUGCUGUACAGUUGCCUCUCUCACUACCGCUCCUCUGCAUAAUUGACG